rnacentral:misc_RNA from 1 species
UACGAACUGUGCAAACGUUAUUCGGAAUCACUGGGCUUAAAGGGUGCGUAGGCGGCUGUUUAAGUAGGGUGUGAAAGCCCCCGGCUCAACCGGGGAAUUGCGCCCUAAACUGGACAGCUGGAGUGAGAUAGGGGUGUACGGAACUUCCGGUGGAGCGGUGAAAUGUGUUGAUAUCGGAAGGAACGCCGGUAGCGAAAGCGGUACACUGGGUCUUAACUGACGCUGAGGCACGGAAGCCAGGGGAGCGAACAGG